GUCCACUGAGGAAAAGUGGAGGUGCUGGUCAGUGAUCCCGCUCAGGAACGGAUUAACGGAUAACUUUUAACAGUUACAAGGAAGGGGGGUGAGACAUGUCCUCCUGUGUGGUGAAGUCCAGAGGUAAAAACCCGUACGCAGCGGUGCAGGUGGACCCAGACAGCGAUUACAUCACACCAGGAACAUUAGACCUGGAGCAGCUGUUCUGGAGCGGGAGUGGGGCUCAGUUUGCCCAUGUCAACCAGGUCUGGCCCAGCGUCUACAUCGGGGAUGAGAAAACGGCUCUGGAGCGGCCCGGCCUGAGGGAUCUGGGUAUUACACAUGUCCUGAAUGCUGCAGAGGGGAAGUUUAAUAAUGUGCUGACUGGUGCUGAUUACUACGGUGACAUAGACAUCCAGUACUACGGUGUAGAGGCUGAUGACAAACCCACCUUCAACAUCUCCCAGUACUUCUGCCCUGCAGCCCAGUUCAUCCACGAGGCCCUCAGUCACCCACAGAACAAAGUGCUGGUGCACUGUGUAAUGGGUCGGAGCAGGUCAGCGACUCUGGUCUUGGCAUACCUGAUGAUGAAACACAGCCUAACUGUGGUGGAUGCUAUUGAGCAUGUGCGACAGCGGCGUUGUAUCUUGCCCAAUCAUGGAUUCCUAAAACAGCUCAGAGCCCUGGACAUCACGUUACAAGAGGAGAGGCUCAGAGAAAAAAGACAAAUGCAAGACCAAUAGCACAUGAUAGAUUAAUAAUAUGCCAGUGUAUACAACUCUCAUUAUUCCCUGAAUCCAUCUCAGAAAACUGAUGGGAUGAAAACAUCUGCAAAGUGUGUGAAUAUUGAAAGUGUAAUGACAGGUUUCGCUUGCAGGUCACAGCCCAGCACAGUAAGUAGAAAUUUUUUAACCACAAAUCAUGUUUUAGCGCUGUAGCCGUUGACUUGAAAUGGCUCUACUUGUGUUAUUGUGCUGAUUAGAUGUACAGCAUACAAUGAGGAGUAAGAAAUUGAAUCCAAUAUUCACUGACUAAUGCGGACUUGAAGCAUUUUGUUGCACUGUGGACUUUAAUGGUAAUCAAGAAGUCGGAGAUUUGCAAAGUACAUGCUGUGGAUCUCUUAUUACUUACCUCGGAUUAUAUUUUUCUAAGGAAAUUCUCAGAGGGAAUCAUAAAACUACCUAAAAGUGUUGUUAAAUAUUCAAUAAAAAUACCCAGACAGAAAAGUGAAUAAGAAAUAAGAUCAACCUUGUAAGUUUUAUUUGUCAGUUUUAGGCAUCACGGUCUAGCACAGAUGUGCAACUUGAGUUUUGCUGAGACCAGUAAUAAAAGGUCACAUGAGGCUUUUUGGUGUAUUUGAACAAAUAAAGAAGCAGCCUAUUAACUGGAGGGACAAUACACAUUAUUUUACAUCUAGCAGAUACACAAGUUUCAAAACAUCUCUUGUAGUAUUCUGACAACUGCACAGGUUUCUUUUCUAUCAUGACAUUUUACAGUAUGUCUAUAUUCAGAAAAUUUUAAUUCAUGUUUGUGUGUUGCACAGACCACAACAUAUCACAAAACUCAGGUUGUUUGAAAUGUUUGGUCUUGCAUCAAAGUCUAAGGCUGAAUUUAGCUCACAUCCUUGAUUCCCACCCAAAUUCUUUUUUGUCUUUCAUUUGCCAUUUGCAGCAGUUGCCAGCAGCAACAAAAAUAUUAAAAUCUGAUGAUGUAUUUCCACUCCAUUCAAGUCUGAUUUAGGAAAGCUGACAGAGCUGAAGCUGGGUUGCAUUUUCUAUGAUGUUGCAAAAGAUCAAGACACACCCAGAAACAACACCAGGCCACUAAUUCAGGUAAUACACAGGACAGGUCAAUUUUAAUGCCCACUGUAUUCCUCUGACAGAGAACAUUUGAAUAUAAUGAUCUCUUUCCAACAAUGCCAGCUACCUUACAUGCAUUUCAAAGAUGUAACAUUCCCAUUUUCAGCCACACAAGCCACUAGUUCCCCAUCACGGGUAUAGCUUGCAAGUUUUCCUGCACAGACAAAUACAGGUUCACAUGUAGGCCUCUGCUCAUCAAGAUUUCAAACUUAGCAACAUUUACAGACACGGAAAGGAAAAAAAAGGCACUCGUUAUUAGAAGCACCUGCCCGAACAAAACAAACUUCCACAAUUCUGACACUGAAGGUAACUUCUGAGUAUCAAUGACACAUUGCAGGUGACGUUUAACAGUGAUCACAGGACAUAGUGGGCAAAGGCUUCAACACAUUUAAAAAGUGUGCACUUAAAAGAAAAACAUUUGGUUUUUAGUAACUGGCCUGUUAAAUUAAAAACUAAACAACACAUAUUUAGGAAUUAUUAAUCUUAAAAAAAAAUCUAAAACAAAUCACUACUGCACAUUCUCAACGCCGUAUCCAAAAACCUCCUCUGACACUAUUCUUUAUUCCUCUGUUUGUGUAUAAUGUGUCCUUCCCAUUGUGGAAUCAGCCUCUUGCGCUUUGAUUCUGUCUCAAGGAGGAAGGAAGGAAGAAAAAAAAAAAAAAACAGACUUGUGAGACGUCAACUUGAGAAUUCGGAGCAGAGUGUGAUCGGUUUCAGUGCGGCAGACGCUGGCAGUGUCGGAGCCAAAAUACAAUGAGAAACAAUCCCAAAACACCUGUCUACGAAAGCAUGAUUUCUCUAUUAGAUCCAAAAUUAUCCCGUUCUGUGGUGUAAUCGUGAGUCCUUUAUGGUCAUUUAUGUAUGAAUAAAUCCUUGUAUUGGCCCAUGAUCCUCUAGUGGCACCAAGUGGAGGACACAGAGACAGGGCACCAAACCAACAAUUGGUGAGAAAUUACGUGUGGAUGGAUUGAAAAAUAACAUGGACGGGUGGCUGAU